rnacentral:rRNA from 1 species
AACGAACGCUGGCGGCAGGCCUAACACAUGCAAGUCGAACGCAUCGCAAGAUGAGUGGCAGACGGGUGAGUAACGCGUGGGAACCUUCCCAAUGGUGCGGAAUAGCUCAGGGAAACUUGGGGUAAUACCGCAUAAGCCCGAAAGGGGAAAGAUUUAUCGCCAUUGGAUGGGCCCGCGUCGGAUUAGCUAGUUGGUGAGGUAACGGCUCACCAAGGCGACGAUCCGUAGCUGGUCUGAGAGGAUGAUCAGCCACACUGGGACUGAGACACGGCCCAGACUCCUACGGGAGGCAGCAGUGGGGAAUAUUGGACAAUGGGCGAAAGCCUGAUCCAGCCAUGCCGCGUGAGUGACGAAGGCCUUAGGGUUGUAAAGCUCUUUUGGCGGGGACGAUAAUGACGGUACCCGCAGAAUAAGCCCCGGCUAACUUCGUG